GCGGCUGUAGAAGAACUGGCAUAUUCAGCAGACUUAAAAUCUGCCCCGUAAGGAUUGUGGGUUCGAGUCCCAUCAGCCGUA
rnacentral:tRNA from 1 species